rnacentral:rRNA from 1 species
UAUUUUUUUUUUUAUUUUUGAUUUAUUUUAGGCAAAGUAUUGUUUUGUUAUUGUAUUGUUAUUGAUUUAAUUGUUUUUAUUAUAGUAGAUUUGUACUGUGAGGGUAUGAAGUUGGGUUUAAUAAUUUUGUUUAUGUAAGUUGAUUUUGUUGGUCGUACCUUGUGUAUCAGGAUUUAUUAAUUUUUAUUAUUUAUUUUUGUUUCCCGAUUUCGGAGGGGUUAAUUAUUUAUUUUGUUUACUGUUGCAUUAGUAUCAAUAAUAUUUUGUUGGUGAUGAAAUGUCAUUCGUUUCUGGUGGUAUCUGGUUUCUGUAGAAAUAAAUUUAAUUUACACAUUUUGUUUAAUUUUUCUAAUUUUGUAGUUUUAUUUAACAUGUAGUGAAUAUUUCGGGGGAUAAGCUUUGAUUUUUAUUUUUAUAAUUUUGUUUUUAAGGAAUUUUGUGGGCUUUAUGUUGGCUAUCAAUUUGAGUAUAUUAAAAUUUUAUUUUGAUUUAUUUCAAUUUUUUAUUUUAUUUAAUUUUUUAUUGGGACGUUUGGUUUAUUAAUUUUUCUGUUGUGAUUUUGAUAGAAUUAGUAUAUUUUUCUUUAUUUAAUUUUGUUGAGUGAGUGGAAAUUUUUUGAGAGGAAUUAGGCAAAUUUUAGUACUCGCCUGUUUAACAAAAACAUCUCUUCUUGUGUAUAAUUUGAAGUACGGUCUGCCCACUGAUUAUUUGAAGGGCCGCGGUAUCUUGACCGUGCAAAGGUAGCAUAAUCAUUAGUUUUUUAAUUGUGAACUGGUAUGAAUGGCUUGACGAGGUAUUUACUGUCUUUGAUUAAUAUUUUAAUUGAAUUUAAUUUUUAGGUAAGAAUGCCUAAAUUUUUUUAUGGGACGAGAAGACCCUAUAGAGUUUUAUGUGGAUCAUAUUAUUUUUUUUUGUUUGAUUUUAUUUACUUUAAUUUUUCUAUAUUUUGUUGGGGUGAUGGGAAGGUAUAGAAAACCCUUCUUUGUUGUUUACAUUUAUUUAUGUUUUUGUGAUUCUUUAUUAUUGGUUGUAAGAUUAAAUUACCUUAGGGAUAACAGCGUAAUCUUUUUUGAGAGUUCUUAUCGACAAAAGGGUUUGCGACCUCGAUGUUGGAUUAAGGUGAAUUUUUGGCGUAGAGGUUUUAUUAAUUUUGUUAUUGGGUCUGUUCGACCUUUGAAACCUUACAUGAUCUGAGUUCAAACCGGCGUGAGCCAGGUUGGUUUCUAUCUAUAAUUUAUAAAAUUUCUUAGUACGAGAGGACCUGAAAUUUUAAAUAAUUU